ACGUAGGGACCGAGCGUUGUCCGGAAUUAUUGGGCGUAAAGAGCUCGUAGGCGGUUGCGUAAGUCGGAUGUGAAAACUCAGGGCUCAACCCUGAGACGCCAUCCGAUACUGCGCUGACUUGAAUCCAGUAGGGGAGUGUGGAAUUCCUGGUGUAGCGGUGAAAUGCGCAGAUAUCAGGAGGAACACCUAUGGCGAAGGCAGCACUCUGGGCUGGUAUUGACGCUGAGGAGCGAAAGCAUGGGUAGCAAACAGG
rnacentral:rRNA from 1 species